GACGAACGCUGGCGGCGUGCUUAACACAUGCAAGUCGAACGGAAAGGCCCUGCUUUUGUGGGGUGCUCGAGUGGCGAACGGGUGAGUAACACGCGAGUAACCUGCCCUUGACUUUGGGAUAACUUCAGGAAACUGGGGCUAAUACCGGAUAGGAGCUCCUGCUGCAUGGUGGGGGUUGGAAAGUUUCGGCGGUUGGGGAGGGACUCGCGGGUUAUCAGCUUGUUGGUGGGGUAGUGGCUUACCAAGGCUGUGACGGGUAGCCGGCCUGAGAGGGUGACCGGCCACAUUGGGACUGAGAUACGGCCCAGACUCCUACGGGAGGCAGCAGUGGGGAAUAUUGCACAAUGGGCGGAAGCCUGAUGCAGCAACGCCGCGUGCGGGAUGACGGCCUUCGGGUUGUAAACCGCUUUCGCCUGUGACGAAGCGUGAGUGACGGUAAUGGGUAAAGAAGCACCGGCUAACUACGUG
rnacentral:rRNA from 1 species